rnacentral:rRNA from 1 species
CGACUUUCAACAACGGAUCUCUUGGUUCUGGCAUCGAUGAAGAACGCAGCGAAAUGCGAUACGUAGUGUGAAUUGCAGAAUUCAGUGAAUCAUCGAAUCUUUGAACGCACAUUGCGCCCUUUGGUAUUCCAAAGGGCAUGCCUGUUCGAGCGUCAUUU